GACGAACGCUGCGGCGUGCUUAACCCCUGCCAGUCGCACGGAAAAGCCCCGCCUUUUUUGGGUGCCUGAGUGGCGAACCGGUGAGUAAACCGUGAGUAACCUUCCCUUGACUUUGGGAUUAAUUCCAGAAACUGGGGCUAAUACCGGAUAAGAGCUCCUGCUGCCUGGUGGGGGUUUGGAAGUUUCGGCGGUGGGGGGUGGACUCGCGGCUUAUCGGGCUGUUGGUGGGGUAGUGGCUACCAAGGCUUUGAAGGGGAGCCGGCCGGAGAGGGUGAGCGGCCACAUUGGGACUGAGAUACGGCCCAGACGCCUACGGGAGGCAGCAGUGGGGAAGAGUGCACAAGGGGCGGAGGCCUGAAGCAGCAAAGCCGCGUGCGGGAGGAGGGCCUGCGGGUUGUAAACCGCUUGCGCCUGGGACGAAGCGUGAGUGACGGGAAUGGGUAAAGAAGCACCGGCUAACUACGUG
rnacentral:rRNA from 1 species